GUGACUAGCAGCGAGUCACUCUUAGCCAUUAGCACCCUGGCUCCCAUCUCUUUGGCCAGCAAAAUCCCGGCGAUCAGCGCUUCAUAUUCUGCUUGAUUGUUACUGGCUUUGAAGGCAAAUCUCAAAGAUUGUUCGAUCAGCACGCCGUUGGGUCCUUCCAAAAUGACUCCAGCACCGCUACCCUGCUGGUUCGACGAUCCAUCCACCGAGAGUACCCAACGGAAAUCGUCCCCUUCAACUCGCGUUGCCUCAG
rnacentral:lncRNA from 1 species